CCUACGGGAGGCAGCAGUAGGGAAUCUUCCGCAAUGGACGAAAGUCUGACGGAGCAACGCCGCGUGAGCGAUGAGGGCCUUCGGGUCGUAAAGCUCUGUUGUCAGGGAAGAACAAGUACCGGAGUAACUGCCGGUACCUUGACGGUACCUGACCAGAAAGCCACGGCUAACUACGUGCCAGCAGCCGCGGUAAUACGUAGGUGGCAAGCGUUGUCCGGAAUUAUUGGGCGUAAAGCGCGCGCAGGCGGUUCCUUAAGUCUGAUGUGAAAGCCCCCGGCUCAACCGGGGAGGGUCAUUGGAAACUGGGGAACUUGAGUGCAGAAGAGGAGAGCGGAAUUCCACGUGUAGCGGUGAAAUGCGUAGAGAUGUGGAGGAACACCAGUGGCGAAGGCGGCUCUCUGGUCUGUAACUGACGCUGAGGCGCGAAAGCGUGGGGAGCGAACAGGAUUAGAUACCCUGGUAGUCCACGCCGUAAACGAUGAGUGCUAAGUGUUAGAGGGUUUCCGCCCUUUAGUGCUGCAGCAAACGCAUUAAGCACUCCGCCUGGGGAGUACGGCCGCAAGGCUGAAACUCAAAGGAAUUGACGG
rnacentral:rRNA from 1 species